rnacentral:tRNA from 1 species
GCAGGGCUGACGGAACGGCCACGUGCUCGCCUGCAGAGCGAGAUAAGGGGGUUCGACUCCCCCGCCCUGCU